AGUUGGUGAGGUACUAUGUAUGUGUACAUAUGCAACUGAUGUAUGUGUGAAACUUGUUUCAAAAAAUGAGAAAAACAAGGUCUGCGAAAUGGUUGAAAUUCUGGUCGACUACAUAAUAGAUCGGGGGUAUAUGUCAUGUGUAAAUUGUCUUUACUGGUUAGAGAGUCUGUAACGUCAUUCUACCAGUUUUUAUCAUUACUCAUAUCAUACAUUCAUUUAUGUAAAAAUUAUUUAAUUCUAUUCUUAUACCGGUACUAUGUAAACAUUUUUAAUUGUAUUCUUGUCAUUAUGUAAACAAUUUGAAUUUUAUUCUUGUCAUUAUGCAUCGGAUUUGAAUUUUAUUCUCGUCAUCAUGUAUCCAAUUUGGAGGAA